GGACAUGCAAGCAUUUCCGAAAAUCUCACAGUUACCGCUGCAUGCGCGCGCAAGUCAUGAAAAGUGCUGGACCGACAAAGAGCGAAUUGGCAGUAUUCAGGGAGAAAUUGAAGAAUUUUCUCAUGCCCCAUUUUCUUAGGAACGGGUGCAAUUUUGACAUGAAAUACGUGGAUAUAAUAUCUAGGGCUUGUGGCAGUGAAGCAGCCAAUUAAAAAAAAA